AUACGGAGGGUGCAAGCGUUACUCGGAAUCACUGGGCGUAAAGCGCGCGCAGGCGACCCGAUAAGUUGGAUGUGAAAGCCUACGGCUCAACCGUAGAACUGCAUCCAAAACUAUUAGACUAGAGUGUGGGAGAGGAAGAUGGAAUUAGUUGUGUAGGGGUAAAAUCCGUAGAGAUAACUAGGAAUACCAAAAGCGAAGGCAAUCUUCUGGAACACUACUGACGCUGAGGCGCGAAAGCGUGGGGAGCAAACAGGAUUAGAUACCCUAGUAGUCC
rnacentral:rRNA from 1 species